UCCUGAAUAAAAUUAACUUGACUAACCUGAACUGUGUUCUUGACUGACUUGUGAGCAGUGGAGGGACCUUAAUGUUAUGCAGUUUUGGUGUGCAAUACUUAAACAACUUUUGAGGUAUUUGCAAACAAUGUAUUUAUAGGGGGUGCACUUUUGGUUACAUUACAUUGAAACAUUGAAGCAACACAGUACCAGUUGUGGAAAAAUGAGGUGGAAUACCACUUACUUGGCUAAAUUAUUUAUACUUAUUGAAUAUGUUUCAAAACAUGCAAGUUUAAAAUCCUAAUUGCGGAUAUAUUGUGUGAGUGUAAACGGGGCAAAAAAUGAGUACUAUGUUACGUAUAGGCAACACAAAACCGCAGAGGGUUAAGUGCACAGACGUUGUGGUCACAAGUUGAUCCAACCACCUUUGUAUGUGACUCAGCUGACUGUGUACCCCAUUACAGUACAAUACGUCAGUGCUGAACUUUGGAAAGAGGUGGUCUUAGUGUAGUGGUUAACGUGUUGGUCUCUUGUAUCUUUUUCCCUUCGCGGAGUGAGUUCGAAUCUCCGCCAAGACGUGUUUUAAUAUGUUGAGCUUGACAAACAGGCUGAAUGUAACGCAUGUAGAUUCAAUCACACUCCAAAGGAGUGGAAAUGCUACUUGCUUUCUUCCUGUUGUCAGCAAAUCACAUCCUUACAACACGCGAGUGGGUAACGUUAAUCGUACAUCACUCUAUAUACCGCUUUGCAGGAGUUAAUGGACUUUCAUACCACAUAGCCUACAGCCUAGUGUUUGUCAUAUUUGUACGCUUUUGAUCGCCUUAAUGCUACAACAUAAAUAGAUAAUUUAUCUUAGAGAUAAAUCUAUUAUACAGCUGCUGCUUUAUUGCUUAAUUUAAAAUAAAGUAUUUCCACGUGAGUAUAUGAAUAUUGGCUUUAUCGACCUGUAGCACAACAAUAGACGUUAGGUUUAUGAAUUAAGUGGGUUUAAACCACUGGUUUUUGUAUUGGAAAGCAGUGAGAUUGUAAAAUGUUCCUCGGUGCAUGGACAGUGUGGUCACAAGUUGAGCUGGCUGCCUCCCAAUUUGAAGACAUAGCUGGCUGUAUGUUGUCGGAUUUUUAUUGUAUCUGUCUAUGAAGUGACGUUGUUAUAGUGGCGCACCUCGUUUAUUGUGCGCUUGUAAUUUGUUUCUUCAUAAUGAAGUAGGUUCGAAUCCCGUGAAAAUAUUCUUUUUUACGUUUCACAGGGCUGAACGGUUCUUUAAUAUGGCACAUGUUUCUUUAAGCAGGCACCAGAGACGAAACUGUUUAGGCCUAUUUAGAAAAUUUAUUCGAGAUGGGAGUUAGAUUCCUACAGGAAAUGCAACUUGGCCUCUUCCUGUUUUCAACAUUCCGUCAUAACAAGUGUGAUUCAAACUGCGACUGGGUGUCGGUCCGUGACUGGGUUCCUCAAACAAAACUCCACAGUCGACUCAGGUAUGUUCUGUUUUGACACUGUAAUGAAACAUUGAAGACAGAGGCAUUCGCGAGGACAGCUACGUGUUCUCUUCCUGGUUGAACACAGCUGUUGUCACUACGACAACCACAGACGCAUUCGGCUGAAGGUCGCCAGUUAACAGGGUCGCGAGUAAAUUCGAAACACCGGCUUCCCUGUAAUGCUGCGACGUCCAGGUAAGAAAGCAUUAGCCUUGGCAAAACGCUUGGUUUACAAUCAGUCCCCCAGAACUGUGGAGAAAGAUGUAAUCAGAUGCUAUACCUAAUAACCACACUAGGGGGGGGGCGAGGACUGUCCCCUGUGGAGCCCCAGUGCUGCAGACUACCACAUCAGACACACAGUCACGCAGCCAGGUGGUGGUCGACUCCAGCUCCUUCCAGCUUCCCCCUGAGCAGAGAUGGCUGUAUUGUAUUGAAAGCGCUGGACAAGUAAAAAAACAACAACAUGACUCUCACAGUACUUCCAGUGUUCUCCAGGUGAGACAGUGUUCUGGAUGAUUGCAUCAUCCACCCCAGUGCCUGUCUGAUAUGCAAACUGCAGGGGGUCCAGGUCCCGUUCAACAACAUAUUUGCAACUGCUGAGAUUUGUUUUGUGCAUUUUACUCACUUCUGAACUGUUUAAAGUGACUUCUGGAGACUCAUUCAGCCACCGCUCGAUUGUUUACACCCGUGAUCAGCUGUUGGCGCUGUGUCACAGUCGUGUACACCCCAGCGAGAGACCGGAGAUUCCCAAGGACUUAAGGAGAAAGAGGCGGGGGUGCAGAGCUGGAGUACAGCGUCGGGAGUGGAAACGACGGUACAAACCAUCUAUACCGUUCGUUAUUAUGGGGAACGUGAGAUCAGGCCCUCUUAAGGUGGACUGACCUUUAAGGCAAGAGGAGACAGGACCAGGAGGAUUUGGUGACUGUCCUGAGGGAAAUGCAUGCGUCUCACAAGAGGCAGAUGGAGAGACUCCUGGAGCUGCAACAGCAUCAGGACCAGCACCUCCGCAUGAUGCUGGAGGACUCCAGGGAUGCAAGGCGCCAGGAAGUAGAGCUGGCAAGGGAACAGCAUCAGGAGACUUAAGCUUUUAACCAAGCGUUCCUUAGUACACUGGACCAGCUCGUACAAGCGAUGAGCGGCCGGCGCGACUCAGGACCCUCAACUAGCUGAUAACGUAUGUGGACCGUAUUGGACAUUGCUGCUACAGCUGACAACAGCGUAUUGGUUGUUGUUUAAUGCACCUUUUGUAUAGUUUCCAGCUUUGCACCGAUUUGUAUUUGCUUGCUCUCAAUACUUCACUUUGUACUUGCACAUUUUUUUGAUAUAAAGUUAGUUUUGUUAAACCAC